AUGAACGCUAGCUACAGGCUUAACACAUGCAAGUCGAGGGGAAACGACAUCGAAAGCUUGCUUUUGAUGGGCGUCGACCGGCGCACGGGUGAGUAACGCGUAUCCAACCUGCCCACCACUUGGGGAUAACCUUGCGAAAGUAAGACUAAUACCCAAUGACGUCUCUAGAAGACAUCUGAAAGAGAUUAAAGAUUUAUCGGUGAUGGAUGGGGAUGCGUCUGAUUAGCUUGUUGGCGGGGUAACGGCCCACCAAGGCGACGAUCAGUAGGGGUUCUGAGAGGAAGGUCCCCCACAUUGGAACUGAGACACGGUCCAAACUCCUACGGGAGGCAGCAGUGAGGAAUAUUGGUCAAUGGGCGAGAGCCUGAACCAGCCAAGUAGCGUGCAGGAUGACGGCCCUAUGGGUUGUAAACUGCUUUUAUAAGGGAAUAAAGUGAGAGUCGUGACUCUUUUUGCAUGUACCUUAUGAAUAAGGACCGGCUAAUUCCGUGCCAGCAGCCGCGGUAAUACGGAAGGUCCGGGCGUUAUCCGGAUUUAUUGGGUUUAAAGGGAGCGUAGGCCGGAGAUUAAGCGUGUUGUGAAAUGUAGACGCUCAACGUCUGCACUGCAGCGCGAACUGGUUUCCUUGAGUACGCACAAAGUGGGCGGAAUUCGUGGUGUAGCGGUGAAAUGCUUAGAUAUCACGAAGAACUCCGAUUGCGAAGGCAGCUCACUGGAGCGCAACUGACGCUGAAGCUCGAAAGUGCGGGUAUCGAACAGGAUUAGAUACCCUGGUAGUCCGCACGGUAAACGAUGGAUGCCCGCUGUUGGUCUGAAUAGGUCAGCGGCCAAGCGAAAGCAUUAAGCAUCCCACCUGGGGAGUACGCCGGCAACGGUGAAACUCAAAGGAAUUGACGGAAGGG
rnacentral:rRNA from 1 species